CGGGUUCAGUUCUCAGCACCAGGGGCUGGGGGCAGGGAGGCCGUCAGAAUUCUACAGAUGGCGAGUGAGCUCAGGCAGAGAUAGGGUGCACAGUAGGAAUUGGCCUUGGCCUCUUCUCUUCAGCCUCCCCGAUAUGGGUGGUUCACUUUUAAAAACUUAUUAUCUUUAGACAGGAUCUCACUGUAUCACCCUGGCUGCCUCCGCAUCGUCCUGAGCUCUGGAACCAAAAGCCUGCUCCAUCACCGCUUGGCUGGCAUUUUCUCCCUACCCCGCUUCUGCAAGGAGAUUUUGUUCUUGUUCAUGUGUGCAGCAUCCAUGUCAUGUCCAGAUGACAGCAGCUCACAGCACUGAUUGUCCCCAGCUGAAGCAAGAUGGCUGUAAAGAAAAGCUAUGGAGUUGUUUGGCAAAGCCAGGAUCCCCUGGAGCUGGAGUUACCGUCGUGACCUGCCACUUGGGUGCUGGAAAUAUGAACCUGGAACCUCUGGAAGAACAGCCAGUGUUCUUAACCACUGAGACAUCUCUCCAACUCAACUUACAUCUUUAGUGCAAUUAAAGCAGAGUUUAAGGGCAAAGAAGAACUUAAGGAAUCCAGACAAAGUCAUUGAGAGACAAUGCUGCCAUAAGUCUGAAUUGAGGAACGACUCAUUUUUAGGGUAAAAUGAAUUUUCAUAGGAUAAUUCCUGAGAAUGUGUCUUGCUAACAUUUUCCGUAGUGGAUGAACUGAAAGGAAAAUUAAAUGGAGCUUUCUGUAUUUCUUAUAAUACUGGCAAUGAUUUGUUGAAGCACUCAAUUUUGGAGCUUGCUGUG
rnacentral:lncRNA from 1 species